rnacentral:tRNA from 1 species
GGGGGUGUGGCUCAAUGGUAGAGCACUUGCCUGGCAUGCAUAAGGUCCUGGGUUCCAAUACUGGCAGC